GGACGAACGCUGGCGGCGUGCUUAACACAUGCAAGUCGAGCGAGAUCCAACCAGCCGCAAGGCUGGGGAAGACCGAGCGGCGAACGGGUGAGUAACACGUGAGCAACCUGCCCCGAAGAUCGGGAUAACACCGGGAAACCGGUGCUAAUACCGGAUACCCCCACCGGACCGCAUGGUCUGGCGAGGAAAGGAUUCUGCUUCGGGAGGGGCUCGCGGCCUAUCAGCUAGUUGGUGAGGUAAUGGCUCACCAAGGCUUCGACGGGUAGCUGGUCUGAGAGGACGACCAGCCACACUGGGACUGAGACACGGCCCAGACUCCUACGGGAGGCAGCAGUGGGGAAUCUUGCGCAAUGGGCGAAAGCCUGACGCAGCAACGCCGCGUGGGGGAUGAAGGCCUUCGGGUUGUAAACCCCUUUCAGCAGGAACGAAAAUGACGGUACCUGCAGAAGAAGCCCCGGCCAACUACGUGCCAGCAGCCGCGGUAAUACGUAGGGGGCAAGCGUUGUCCGGAUUCAUUGGGCGUAAAGAGCUCGUAGGCGGCUUGGCAAGUCGGGUGUGAAAACUCCAGGCUCAACCUGGAGAUGCCACCCGAGACUGCU
rnacentral:rRNA from 1 species